GAGCAAGGGGCUCUAGUGCAGCUCGACUAGAGCCCUGUAAUGGUACUGAACCGGAGCAUGUUGUACGCGCCUUUG
rfam:Bat coronavirus 1A, complete genome